rnacentral:rRNA from 1 species
CAGGAUGGGAUCAUGAGUUCACAUGUCCGCAUGAUUAAAGGUAUUUUCCGGUAGACGAUGGGGAUGCGUUCCAUUAGAUAGUAGGCGGGGUAACGGCCCACCUAGUCAACGAUGGAUAGGGGUUCUGAGAGGAAGGUCCCCCACAUUGGAACUGAGACACGGUCCAAACUCCUACGGGAGGCAGCAGUGAGGAAUAUUGGUCAAUGGGCGAUGGCCUGAACCAGCCAAGUAGCGUGAAGGAUGACUGCCCUAUGGGUUGUAAACUUCUUUUAUAAAGGAAUAAAGUCGGGUAUGCAUACCCGUUUGCAUGUACUUUAUGAAUAAGGAUCGGCUAACUCCGUGCCAGCAGCCGCGGUAAUACGGAGGAUCCGAGCGUUAUCCGGAUUUAUUGGGUUUAAAGGGAGCGUAGAUGGAUGUUUAAGUCAGUUGUGAAAGUUUGCGGCUCAACCGUAAAAUUGCAGUUGAUACUGGAUGUCUUGAGUGCAGUUGAGGCAGGCGGAAUUCGUGGUGUAGCGGUGAAAUGCUUAGAUAUCACGAAGAACUCCGAUUGCGAAGGCAGCCUGCUAAGCUGCAACUGACAUUGAGGCUCGAAAGUGUGGGUAUCAAACAGGAUUAGAUACCCUGGUAGUCCACACGGUAAACGAUGAAUACUCGCUGUUUGCGAUAUACGGCAAGCGGCCAAGCGAAAGCGUUAAGUAUUCCACCUGGGGAGUACGCCGGCAACGGUGAAACUCAAAGGAAUUGACGGGGGCCCGCACAAGCGGAGGAACAUGUGGUUUAAUUCGAUGAUACGCGAGGAACCUUACCCGGGCUUAAAUUGCACUCGAAUGAUCCGGAAACGGUUCAGCUAGCAAUAGCGAGUGUGAAGGUGCUGCAUGGUUGUCGUCAGCUCGUGCCGUGAGGUGUCGGCUUAAGUGCCAUAACGAGCGCAACCCUUGUUGUCAGUUACUAACAGGUGAUGCUGAGGACUCUGACAAGACUGCCAUCGUAAGAUGUGAGGAAGGUGGGGAUGACGUCAAAUCAGCACGGCCCUUACGUCCGGGGCUACACACGUGUUACAAUGGGGGGUACAGAGGGCCGCUACCACGCGAGUGGAUGCCAAUCCCUAAAACCCCUCUCAGUUCGGACUGGAGUCUGCAACCCGACUCCACGAAGCUGGAUUCGCUAGUAAUCGCGCAUCAGCCACGGCGCGGUGAAUACGUUCCCGGGCCUUGUACACACCGCCCGUCAAGCCAUGGGAGCCGGGGGUACCUGAAGUGCGUAACCGCGAGGAUCGCCC